CAAGCGGUGGAUGAUGUGGAUUAAUUCGAUGCAACGCGAAAAACCUUACCUACCCUUGACAUGGCAGAAAUCCUCGAGAGAUCGGGGAGUGCUCGAAAGAGAAUCUGCACACAGGUGCUGCAUGGCUGUCGUCAGCUCGUGUCGUGAGAUGUUGGGUUAAGUCCCGCAACGAGCGCAACCCUUGUCAUUAGUUGCUACGAAAGAGCACUCUAAUGAGACUGCCGGUGACAAACCGGAGGAAGGUGGGGAUGACGUCAAGUCCUCAUGGCCCUUAUGGGUAGGGCUUCACACGUCAUACAAUGGUACAUACAGAGGGCCGCCAACCCGCGAGGGGGAGCUAAUCCCAGAAAGUGUAUCGUAGUCCGGAUUGUAGUCUGCAACUCGACUGCAUGAAGUUGGAAUCGCUAGUAAUCGCGGAUCAGCAUGUCGCGGUGAAUACGUUCCCGGGUCUUGUACACACC
rnacentral:rRNA from 1 species